rnacentral:rRNA from 1 species
UGAGCAAUCUGCCCCCGACUCUGGGAUAACCCCGGGAAACCGGAGCUAAUACCGGAUACGAACCACUCAGGCAUCUGAGAGGUUGGAAAGAUUUAUCGGUCAGGGAUGGACUCGCGGCUUAUCAGCUUGUUGGUGGGGUAACGGCUCACCAAGGCUUCGACGGGUAGCCGGCCUGAGAGGGCGACCGGCCACACUGGGACUGAGACACGGCCAGACUCCGUACGGGAGCA